rnacentral:rRNA from 1 species
AUUGAACGCUGGCGGCAGGCCUAACACAUGCAAGUCGAGCGGAUGAAGGUAGCUUGCUACCUGAUUCAGCGGCGGACGGGUGAGUAAUGCCUAGGAAUCUGCCUGGUAGUGGGGGACAACGUUUCGAAAGGAACGCUAAUACCGCAUACGUCCUACGGGAGAAAGUGGGGGAUCUUCGGACCUCACGCUAUCAGAUGAGCCUAGGUACGAUUAGCUAGUUGGUGAGGUAAAGGCUCACCAAGGCGACGAUCGUUAACUGGUCUGAGAGGAUGAUCAGUCACACUGGAACCGGGACACGGUCCAGACUCCUACGGGAGGCAGCAGUGGGGAAUAUUGGACAAUGGGCGAAAGCCUGAUCCAGCCAUGCCGCGUGUGUGAAGAAGGUCUUCGGAUUGUAAAGCACUUUAAGUUGGGAGGAAGGGCAGUAAGUUAAUACCUUGCUGUUUUGACGUUACCGACAGAAUAAGCACCGGCUAACUUCGUGCCAGCCGCCGCCGUAA